GAACGCUGGCGGCGGCCUAACACAUGCAAGUCGAACGGUAACAUUUCUAGCUUGCUAGAAGAUGACGAGUGGCGGACGGGUGAGUAAUGCUUGGGAACUUGCCUUUGCGAGGGGGAUAACAGUUGGAAACGACUGCUAAUACCGCAUAAUGUCUUCGGACCAAACGGGGCUUUUAGCUCCGGCGCAAAGAGAGGCCCAAGUGAGAUUAGCUAGUUGGUAAGGUAACGGCUUACCAAGGCGACGAUCUCUAGCUGUUCUGAGAGGAAGAUCAGCCACACUGGGACUGAGACACGGCCCAGACUCCUACGGGAGGCAGCAGUGGGGAAUAUUGCACAAUGGGGGAAACCCUGAUGCAGCCAUGCCGCGUGUGUGAAGAAGGCCUUCGGGUUGUAAAGCACUUUCAGUUGUGAGGAAAAGUUAGUAGUUAAUACCUGCUAGCCGUGACGCUAACAACAGAAGAAGCACCGGCUAACUCCGUGCCAGCAGCCGCGGUAAUACGGAGGGUGCGAGCGUUAAUCGGAAUUACUGGGCGUAAAGCGCACGCAGGCGGUUUGUUAAGCUAGAUGUGAAAGCCCCGGGCUCAACCUGGGAUGGUCAUUUAGAACUGG
rnacentral:rRNA from 1 species